UUUAAACUCAAUGUAUCAAUUUUAAAGGCCAUUAUGUUUACUUUUCAUGUACGUAAUUGUGUUUAACAAUUAGAUGUGAUGUAGAUAUAAUAUUUUUAGAUGCGUUGUCACAUUGUUGCUGUCUUUUGUGAGUAAUGCCAUAUUUGUCUAGGGAAUUUAGUGACUGCAGUACUGGAAGAUUCCAGUAGGGGGCGUGGACAGGUGACUAGGGUCAAGCACGCGUUCCUUUAGUAUCAUAGAACAAUAGACUGAUCGAGGGAAACUCAGCGUGUUUGUUUGUCUCUAAUACCUGUUCCCUUAUUGCAGAUUUCAAAUAAGAUGAUAGACUGGGAGUGCAGGGUGUAAAAAGAUUCAUCGUUCAAGACUCCACGUCCUCAGACACCACAGACUAGAACAUAGACACUGCUCAAAAAUAAGUCCACUUCCAUCUUGAUUAUUCUGAAGUGCAUAUUGAGAGAGAGCCACUGGAGCAAUAUAUGGUUGUGCGUUACAGCUCUAAUGGCCAAAUGCAGUGAAUUUCUCUGUUGUUCUUGAGGACGAAUUGGUCACCACCCACAACCAACUUCCAGAUGCCUUUCUUGUCCUGUUUGGAUUCCUGUAUGCUUUUCACGUACAUAUUCCUAAAGGACUUGCAAAAACAUUGGUAUUUGUGCAAAAAACUUUUGCUUGGCAUGGAAGAUGGGGAAACUGUCUCCUAUCCUGCAAACCUUAAAGAACAAGUUGAUGUGAAGCAUAACUUGUACUACCUCAGCACACACAAAAGACAAAAAGAGUUACUUAAAUGUUAUCUAACUGAUGUUACUUUGAUUUUUUUACUUGUAUCUACUUAGUUUUUAUUGACAAGUUAUUGUAUUAACAAAGCGGUUCAGUUUAAGAAAUUGUCAUGUUUAAUGGAACUGUGUGGUGUUAAUAUAUGAAGUUGGCUGUUUAACAUUCCUUGCUCAUUUCUCAUUUUAUAAAAUGCUGUUAAACAAUUUGAGCCUGUUAAAAGGUAUGUUGUGUUGCUAAGAGAAUUACAUUUUUGACUGAAAAAUAUGAAAUGCUGUUUAACAGUUAUGUUACCUUGAACCCAUUAAAAGGGUAACUUUACUUUUGUGGGUUGCUAAACAGACUUUAAAGCUCACGUAACACACGCUGUUUCUGCAUUUCUGAUAUUAAUCUGGAGUACCUAUGGAGUAGUAUGACAUCCUUUAUAUCUCUGAAGAGUCUUUAGUUUAAUCAGAUUUAUAAAAGAAAGAUUAGCUUUACCGAAUCUUUCCGAUAACGUACUAAAAAAUGAAGAAGGAGGAGUUAUAACACGGGAGGAGCGAGUACGAGUCAUGCAACACUAUACAACACUGUUUUAACUUAUGAUUCACUACAUGUUCGUGUCAUUUAUAUAAUAUACACGCGCCUAUUUCCAACAUAAGACAGAAGUCUUACUUACCACGUGUAACUCGUCAUGAAAAUCCACCGCAUCAAACACACACGCAAAACUCCGCUGCUAAUCCGGAUAAUAAACUAUAUCCAUUGUUUCCAUAAGGCUGGAUGUCUUCUCCUUACAUCCAAAAACACACUUCUUGUUGUGCCAUUGUUGACUUUUGAAAUUAAACAAAGCUGAGUGG